rnacentral:rRNA from 1 species
UACGGAGGGGGCGAGCGUUGUUCGGAAUUAUUGGGCGUAAAGAGUAUGUAGGCGGUCAAGUAAGUCAGGCGUGUAAGCCCUCGGCUCAACCGAGGAAUUGCGUUUGAAACUGCUCGACUUGAGUACGAAAGAGGAAAGCGGAAUUCCCAGUGUAGCGGUGAAAUGCAUUGAUAUUGGGAAGAACAUCGGUGGCGAAGGCGGCUUUCUGGUUCGAUACUGACGCUGAGAUACGAAAGCUAGGGGAGCAAACGGGAUUAGAUACCCCGGUAGUCCUAGCCGUAAACGAUGGGCACUAGGUGUGGGGGGUCUUCGAUCCCCUCCUUGCCGUAGCUAACGCAUUAAGUGCCCCGCCUG